AUCCUGGCUCAGAUUGAACGCUGGCGGCAGGCCUAACACAUGCAAGUCGAGCGGCAGCACGGGUACUUGUACCUGGUGGCGAGCGGCGGACGGGUGAGUAAUGCCUAGGAAUCUGCCUAGUAGUGGGGGAUAACGUCCGGAAACGGGCGCUAAUACCGCAUACGUCCUACGGGAGAAAGUGGGGGAUCUUCGGACCUCACGCUAUUAGAUGAGCCUAGGUCGGAUUAGCUAGUUGGUGAGGUAAUGGCUCACCAAGGCGACGAUCCGUAACUGGUCUGAGAGGAUGAUCAGUCACACUGGAACUGAGACACGGUCCAGACUCCUACGGGAGGCAGCAGUGGGGAAUAUUGGACAAUGGGCGAAAGCCUGAUCCAGCCAUGCCGCGUGUGUGAAGAAGGUCUUCGGAUUGUAAAGCACUUUAAGUUGGGAGGA
rnacentral:rRNA from 1 species